GGUUUUAUAUUCAAUUAUGAUUUUAGACUGCAAUUCUGAAGGUGUAAAAUUUUACUAAGGCCU
rnacentral:tRNA from 1 species